CCCAAAUAAUAAUAAUUUUUUUUUGUAAACUGGCCCCAAAUAAUAAUAAUUCAUAAAACUGUUUUUUACCAAAUCAGGUGUACUGAUUUUCAUUUGUUUGCCAUUUCAUCCAUUUCGCUAUAAAUGAUGUGUCCGAAUUUAUUAAAAGAAACAAUUCACUCAUUUCGCUAUAGAUAAUUAUUUGGGUGGCAAUUAUUUUGAGACUAAAUACAAGUUUUGUUUUUGGUAAAAAUGUUAAAAAUACAAAAUAAAAGUUCAGGAACGAGUGAAAAAAAAGGUUUGAGACGAGUUGACCUGUUAAUUGUUCUCAUCUUUUUUUUUGGGCAACUAAUAAUAACUUUACUUGGGCAAGUUGAUUGAAGGGUAAUCUCAUCAUAUACUUUCUAUUUUUAUAUGUAAAUAUCCGUUUUGAUUGAACAACUAUUUAAGAGGAUUGAACCUUAAAUAUACUAUUAUAUACAUCCCGGUAAUAUGUUGUUUAUCUAUUGGACAUCUAAUUUAUCUAUGAAAGUUAUAUUUAUAUCAUAUAACCUAAUAAUGAUGUCUUAGAGCAUCUCCAAAACCAGUCUUAAAGUUUUGUACAUUUCAAAAGCAACUUUAAAACUUUAAGUUUUAAAGUUGUGAACAGUGAAAUUUUAAAUAUAAAAUUUUACUGUCCAAAACUUAUAUUUGAGGUUCUUUACUUUUCAUGUCCAUACACGUAUUUUUUUUAAAUAAUCUUAUCAUUUUUUUAUCAUUUUAAUUCUUAUAAUUUCAUAUUUCAUAAAAAAUUACAUAUAUAUUUAAUAAUUCAAAUAUCAUAUAUAAUGUCAAAAUAUUACUAAAAUCUAUGUAAAUUUGAUUAAAAACUACAAAAUUCUGCACAACGUUUUCCAUAUAGUUUGGCUUAAUCAAAAGUUAUUAUGAAUGAAUUCAUUAUAUUAUCCUUUUAUGUUCAGAUUUACUAAAUUCAUAAAAGUAUUAUUAUAAAUGAUAUUCAGUUGUAGAUUUUAUAUUUAUUCAUAAAAGUUAUAUGAUAAUCUAAAACAAUACCCAUGACUAUAGUGUAAAUUAUAAAACUUUUAAGGUUCAAUAUAAAUUUUUGUUUUUGGAGAAGAAAACUUUCAAACCUUAAAUUUGAGGUUUUGUCAAACCUUAAAAUAAAGUUGUUUUUGGAGAUGCUUUUAGUCUCCUAUAAUAAUACUUAUAUACUAAACUGUAUAUUCAACAAAAUAACACGUUCAUUGCUUGAUUAUAGUACAUUGAAAACAUCGAAUAUCCACAUAUGUUCACUAGAGGUACAGCGUACAUACCUUAAACGUCUGGAAAGUGAAGUGAUCGUAGCAGAUAUUCUCGUUGUCCAAUGACUGAACAAGCUCCCAUAUGGUCUUCGCUGUUGGGUUCUUCCUCAGAUACGUCUUCAAAUGCUAGAACGAGGGGUCGAAGGAACCCAAUUGAGAAAGAACCUUGAAUGAUGAAGCAUAGGACAAGUCGAAAGAACCCAUUUAGAAAGAUCGUUGUGUUAUGUCGGAUAAACUGAGCCUUGCUUAGCUGUUCUUAUUUGUAUUGUAUCUCGUUGAUAAAAAGACGGAGUCUCUAUUAUUACUACUAGGUGCUGAGACUCCGCGCAAGCGCGGAGCUGGUUACUUUGGAUAUUGGUGGGACGAUAUGAUUUAUGA